rnacentral:rRNA from 1 species
CGGAAGGGUGAGUAACACGUAAGUAACCUGCCCCCGAGUAUGGAAUAACUCUGAGAAAUCGGAGCUAAUACUGUAUACGAUGGUGGAGGUAGUGCUCCAUUAUUAAAGCCUUCGGGUGCUUGGGGAGGGGCUUGCGUCCGAUUAGCUUGUUGGUGAGGUAACGGCCCACCAAGGCACCGAUCGGUAGCUGGUUUGAGAGGAUGAUCAGCCACACUGGGACUGAGACACGGCCCAG